rnacentral:rRNA from 1 species
UGGCUCAGGACGAACGCUGGCGGCGCGCUAAUACAUGCAAGUCGAGCGAGAACCAAGGCUUCGGCCGUGGGGACAGCGGCGAACGGGUGAGUAACACGUGGGUAAUCAACCCCCGACACUGGGAUAGCCCGGGGAAACCCGGAUUAAUACCGGAUGCUCCGUCUGGCCCGAGGGCCGGCCGGAAAAGGGUAGCUUCGGCCUCCGGUCGGGGACGAGCCCGCGGCGGAUUAGCUUGUUGGUGGGGUAACGGCCCACCAAGGCGACGAUCCGUAGCUGGUCUGAGAGGACGAUCAGCCACACUGGGACUGAGACACGGCCCAGACUCCUACGGGAGGCAGCAGUAGGGAAUCUUGCGCAAUGGGCGAAAGCCUGACGCAGCGACGCCGCGUGAGGGAAGAAGGCCUUCGGGUUGUAAACCUCUUUCAGGAGGGACGAAGCCACUCGGGUUAAUAGCCCAGAGGGUGACGGUACCUCCAGAAGAAGCCCCGGCUAACUACGUGCCAGCAGCCGCGGUAAUACGUAGGGGGCAAGCGUUGUCCGGAUUUAUUGGGCGUAAAGAGCGUGUAGGCGGCCAUACAGGUCAGCUGUGAAAACUCGAGGCUCAACCUCGAGACGUCGGUUGAAACCGUAUGGCUAGAGUCCGGAAGAGGAGAGUGGAAUUCCCGGUGUAGCGGUGAAAUGCGCAGAUAUCGGGAAGAACACCCGUGGCGAAGGCGGCUCUCUGGGACGGUACUGACGCUGAGACGCGAAAGCGUGGGGAGCGAACAGGAUUAGAUACCCUGGUAGUCCACGCCGUAAACGAUGGGUACUAGGUGUGGCGGGUGUCGACUCCCGCUGUGCCGAAGCUAACGCAUUAAGUACCCCGCCUGGGGAGUACGGCCGCAAGGCUAAAACUCAAAU